GACGAACGCUGGCGGCGUGCCUAAUACAUGCAAGUUGAGCGAUGAAGAUUGGUGCUUGCACCAAUUUGAAGAGCAGCGAACGGGUGAGUAACGCGUGGGGAAUCUGCCUUUGAGCGGGGGACAACAUUUGGAAACGAAUGCUAAUACCGCAUAACAACUUUAAACAUAAGUUUUAAGUUUGAAAGAUGCAAUUGCAUCACUCAAAGAUGAUCCCGCGUUGUAUUAGCUAGUUGGUGAGGUAAAGGCUCACCAAGGCGAUGAUACAUAGCCGACCUGAGAGGGUGAUCGGCCACAUUGGGACUGAGACACGGCCCAAACUCCUACGGGAGGCAGCAGUAGGGAAUCUUCGGCAAUGGACGAAAGUCUGACCGAGCAACGCCGCGUGAGUGAAGAAGGUUUUCGGAUCGUAAAACUCUGUUGGUAGAGAAGAACGUUGGUGAGAGUGGAGAGCUCAUCAAGUGACGGUAACUACCCAGAAAGGGACGGCUAACUACGUG
rnacentral:rRNA from 1 species